GGGGAAUAUUGCACAAUGGGCGAAAGCCUGAUGCAGCGACGCCGCGUGCGGGAUGAAGGCCUUCGGGUUGUAAACCGCUUUUAAUUGGGAGCAAGCGAGAGUGAGUGUACCUUUUGAAUAAGCACCGGCUAACUACGUGCCAGCAGCCGCGGUAAUACGUAGGGUGCAAGCGUUAUCCGGAAUUAUUGGGCGUAAAGAGCUCGUAGGCGGUUUGUCACGCCUGGUGUGAAAGUCCAUCGCUUAACGGUGGAUCUGCGCCGGGUACGGGCAGGCUAGAGUGCAGUAGGGGAGAUUGGAAUUCCCGGUGUAACGGUGGAAUGUGUAGAUAUCGGGAAGAACACCAAUGGCGAAGGCAGAUCUCUGGGCUGUUACUGACGCUGAGGAGCGAAAGCAUGGGGAGCGAACAGGAUUAGAUACCCUGGUAGUCCAUGCCGUAAACGGUGGAUGCUGGAUGUGGGACCCUUCCACGGGUUCCGUGUCGGAGCUAACGCGUUAAGCAUCCCGCCUGGGGAGUACGGCCGCAAGGCUAAAACUCUAAAGUGAAUU
rnacentral:rRNA from 1 species